UGAGUGAAGAAGGCUGCUGUGGCAUGCUCGGGACCUAGAGGGAACCUGCCUCAUUGACAGGGGACAGCAGCUGCACAGCUCCAGACAAUCGUUGUCAAGGACGGGAAUGAGAUUCUAACAUGGCUGAUCUGAUUUUUCAAGAAAGGUGAAAGACCCAAAUUCAUGGAAGAGAAGUGAGUCACACAGGGAGCCAGUGGCAGAGCCACACCCCACAGAGCAAUCAACAUGCUCUACUCUGCAGACCUGCAACAGGGAGGGAAGCCAGACUCUGAUGCAAGAAGGAAAGACCAUGUGCUGGCUCAGUGUGUGCAGCCUGGACUGAGCUACUGAACUCUAAAUCCAAGGAUGACUAAUAGGCAGAAUGACAUUAAUACCAGACCUGAUGAAGACAGCACAAAAAGUAAAUCUCAACACAACCUCACAAUAUUAAUAAAGCAAAAAUUUUAAAUACAGUAA
ensembl:lncRNA novel transcript